GCUUAUAUUUGCUCGUGUCCACAUUCAUAUAAUACGUCAACGCGUCCUUGGAA
rnacentral:sRNA from 1 species